CUGGCAAAGCAGAGCUGUGGUUUGCAGAGUCCCAGACCUGGCAUCCUCAGCCAGGGAAUGGAAGGACAUGUUUGGAGCUGGGAGACAAUAGCUCAGUAUUUGGUACAGAGUCAUAGAAAAAUAAGCACUGCCACAUGGCUGGAAUGCAGAUGGAAUCUUUACAAGGACCAGAGACCCUCUCUGUGAUGCUCUACCUGCCCGGAGGUGUGAGUGGUGCACUCCCAUGGCUGUCCCAUCUAGUCACCCUACUGGAGAGACCACGUGAAGAGCCCAUGUGGUGAGGAGAGGUCCUGAGACUGUGUGCAGCAAGAGAGAGGCCCAGCCAUCUCCAUAUCCCGGUUGAGCUUCCAGAUGACUCCAGUCCCAGCCACCAUCCAACUGAAACCCCCAGAGGAUGAACC